CCUACGGGUGGCAGCAGUGGGGAAUAUUGGACAAUGGGCGAAAGCCUGAUCCAGCCAUGCCGCGUGUGUGAAGAAGGCCUUCGGGUUGUAAAGCACUUUCAGUGGGGAAGAAAGCCUUGGGGCUAAUACCCUCGAGGAAGGACAUCACCCACAGAAGAAGCACCGGCUAACUCCGUGCCAGCAGCCGCGGUAAUACGGAGGGUGCGGGCGUUAAUCGGAAUUACUGGGCGUAAAGCCGCGUAGGCGGUCUGAUAAGCCGGUUGUGAAAGCCCCGGGCUCAACCUGGGGACGGCAUCCGGAACUGUCAGGCUAGAGUGCAGGAGAGGAGGGUAGAAUUCCCGGUGUAGCGGUGAAAUGCGUAGAGAUCGGGAGGAAUACCAGUGGCGAAGGCGGCCUUCUGGACUGACACUGACGCUGAGGUGCGAAAGCGUGGGUAGCAAACAGGAUUAGAUACCCCAGUAGUC
rnacentral:rRNA from 1 species